rnacentral:lncRNA from 1 species
CGUGAUGAUCAAACUUUAGAAUGAAAAUCCGACCGUCAGAUCUGACCAUCAUGAUAAAAUACAUGUAUGGGAAAAAAUUCAACUUGAUCCGACAAGGUUAAGAGCUCGAUCCGGACGGUCAAUCCGUUAAGUCAAACCCCUAAACGCACGGAAAAGGUCAUUGGAGUGUCUAAAUUAGGUAUUUUUGGCCGGACCUUCAACUGAAAAUAGUUUUAAACCGAUGAGACGCAACAAGUCCUAAAAAAAUUUUAUGCAAAAUAACCACCGAAGAUAGGGCUACCCAUAGGGAGAAAGAAUGGAAAAUCGCAUUGACCGCAACUAUCAGCACCGAGACAUGACCGGAAUACCGUGAUUUUUCAACCGUAGAGGUAUUUCACCAUUAUGGUCAUGUCUUAUUUCACGACUUUUUUACGUUUGAAGGUUCUACGUAUAGUUUAUUUUUGAAACGGAACAUUUACUUAACACUUGGUAAACAAGUUAUACAACAUUAGUAAGCAUGUUGUGAUUGUGAUGAUCAAACUUGAGAAAAGGAAAUCCGACGGUCAGAUCUGACCAUCAUGAUAAAAUACAUGUAUGGGAAAAAAUUCAACUUGAUCUGACAAGGUUAAGUGCUCGAUCCGAACGGUCAAUCCCGUAAGUCAAACCCCUAAAUGCACGGAAAAGGUAGUUGGACCGUCAAAAUUUCGUAUUUUGGCCGGACCUUCAACUGAAAAUAUUUUCAAAUCGAUGAGACACAAUAAGUCGUAUAAAAAUUUUACGCAAAAUAACCACCGAAGAUAGGGCUAUAGUAUGUAACAGAAAAAAUUUAGGUUUUAGCCGACGAAAUAUUAGGGUAUUUCGUCGGCUAUAAGUUAUUUUAGCCGACGAUGUCUAGUAUUUUUCGUCGGCUAUAGUAUGUAAUAAAAAAAAGUUUAGGGUUUAGCCGACGAAAUAUUAGGGUAUUUCGUCGGCUAUAAGUUAUUUUAGCCGACGAUAUCUAGUAUUUUUCGUCGGCUAUAGUAUGUAAUAAUAUAAAAAAAUUAAUAAAGUCGACGAAAUAUUAGUGUAUUUCGUCGGCUAUAAGUUCUUUUAGCCGACGACUUCAAGUAUUUUUUCGUCGGCUAAGACUGGUUUAGCCGACGACUUUUAAUAUAAUUCGUCGGCUAAGAUGGUUUAGGCGACAAAUUAUGUUGUAUUUCGUCGGCUUAAGUAAAAAAAUACAAACCCUAAAACAGAAGGUUUAAACCAUACUAAUUUCCUGUUCAUAUAUCACCAAAAUUCAUAUAAAAUAACAGAAAUAUGAAUUCAACAUAUGUAAACUAGAAAUUAAGGUAAUACACAAUCUUUUUUAUUAUAAAUUAAUGUAUUACAUCCGAAGAAAUUAAAACUAAGGCUCGUAAUCGGAAUCAUCCGAUGAGUCUUCUUCGGUGUCAGAAUU